GGUUGUGUAGUGUAGUGGUCAGCACAUCGGAUUUUGAGAUGUUGCAAGGCACCCUCAAUGUUUCCGGGAACCCCGGUUCGAGUCCGGGCAUAACCU